rnacentral:rRNA from 1 species
UACGUAGGGGGCUAGCGUUGUCCGGAUUUAUUGGGCGUAAAGAGCGUAUAGGCGGCCAAGUAGGUCCGGUGUGAAAACUCGAGGCUUAACCUCGAGAUGUCAUCGGAAACCAUUUGGCUAGAGUCCGGAAGAGGAAAGUGGAAUUCCUGGUGUAGCGGUGAAAUGCGCAGAUAUCAGGAGGAACACCGGUGGCGAAGGCGGGUCUCUGGGCCGUAACUGACGCUGGAGGAGCGAAAGCCAUGGGGAGCGAACAGG